rnacentral:rRNA from 1 species
AUUGAACGCUGGCGGCAGGCCUAACACAUGCAAGUCGAGCGGAUGAGUGGAGCUUGCUCCAUGAUUCAGCGGCGGACGGGUGAGUAAUGCCUAGGAAUCUGCCUGGUAGUGGGGGACAACGUUUCGAAAGGAACGCUAAUACCGCAUACGUCCUACGGGAGAAAGUGGGGGAUCUUCGGACCUCACGCUAUCAGAUGAGCCUAGGUCGGAUUAGCUAGUUGGUGAGGUAAAGGCUCACCAAGGCGACGAUCCGUAACUGGUCUGAGAGGAUGAUCAGUCACACUGGAACUGAGACACGGUCCAGACUCCUACGGGAGGCAGCAGUGGGGAAUAUUGGACAAUGGGCGAAAGCCUGAUCCAGCCAUGCCGCGUGUGUGAGGAAGGUCUUCGGAUUGUAAAGCACUUUAAGUUGGGAGGAAGGGCAGUAAGUUAAUACCUUGCUGUUUUGACGUUACCAACAGAAUAAGCACCGGCUAACUUCGUG